AUUUUCUUCCCACUUUCUAUCCAUUUCAAUUUUUUUCCCUUGUUACUUUCCCACUGUAUCAAUAGAAGGAAAAGCAACUUUAUACCCACUUUUCCUUUCUCUGCUUAUUUUCCCUUCAUCUUUCCCUCCCACCAAUCAGAGUGUUGAAAUUGUCGAAACAAGUUCACUGUCAUGUCUCCGGAGAAUACACCCAGCACCGGCUCUACUCUCGCUUCCCCCUCUGCUCCAAUACAUUAAGCACUUGUCUCCCAAUUGAUUGAAUUGUACGAUGGGUUAGUUUUUUCGUUCUGAACGGCUGGAACAUUCAGCAAUGGUUCCAACCUUCAUAUGGGCGUAGCAUCAAUAAAGCAAAUGUAGUGUCCAAUAACUGAGAGUCUAAUUUGACCCAUGAGAUUUGGAUUGAUAGGAUUGUAGGUACCUGGGAAACCAAGAUGGAGAAGGAUCGAGUGAGGAGAUUCCAGAAGAAGGCAUUGCCUCUGUCAAGAUGAUGAGGGCCUGCUCUUCCCAAUAAGAUCAGCACCAUUCGUCCCCCCUCCACCACCUCCUCCGAUCGGCAUCGGAGGAACAGUGAGAAAUCCCGCCGGAAUUGCCUCUGGUAAGCUUGGGACACCUCCGGCGGACUGUUCUCCGAUAUGUAAACACUGCCCUUGUUUAUGGACUUCCCCUGUUCCCCAUACAGCCCAGCAGGAAUCUGCAUGCAUGCAUGCAUAUGCAAUUAUUCAUGUGCUAUGUAAACAUGACAGUCCCCCUUAAUUAAUUAUUGGUCUAAUAUCAAUUACUACGCCAUCACAAGUGGUGGAAAACUGAAAAGUGGGGUGAGCAAUGGUCCAUUUCCGAUCUCAAGCUAAGUGAUAUUUUGUGGCCAGAAAUGAAUGAAUUUGACAACAGUUUUCAACUUUGAAAAUGAAAACACAAAGGCAAGUACACAAAAGGGAUAAAGACAUAUAUAUACAACUGAACUAUUCAUCAUCCCAAGCUAGAAGCUUUGCUAAUUACGGGUUGACGUGACACCAAGGAGAUUGUGCCACUCUGCGUAGCGCCCCGUAAUUCCGCCAAUGUGAUGGGUGAAUCUGAAUCCUCUGCUUCCAAAGUGUGUGUCCCAUCUAUGGUCUGUAAUAAUUUUGCUGUCAUAAUUGAAGAUAUUGCUGCCAAAGUAGUUUAUUAUAAGCGUAUAAAUAGACUACUUUAGCAAUGAUCUUUCAGUUUUUGACUAUUUAUAGUUCAAAUUUGUGACAUAAAAUUCCAACUUGAUUAAUAUAAAGUUGUAAUGAAGUGGGUCAAAAUUAAUUCAUACAAAUUUAAAUCAAGAUCCAAAACCCAUAAUAUCAAAGACCAUCCUUGAAAAUUACUCAAAAAUAUAAGUUGAAAAUUCUUGAUGCAUGUAUCUGAUCAACAAUUCCUAUUUGGGAAUCUAAUGGUGGGCAUCUAGGUAGUUCCAUUUUCUUUUUUCUGUAAUUGGAAUUCCGUAAAGAAUUGAAUGACAUUCCUUUCUCCAUUUUGAAAAUUUUAGGACUGCGACAUGAUGAAUGCCAUAGGAUCACAGGGAGAAUCAAUUCAUAAGUACCAUGGGGACAGAGGACAUAGAAGUCUGAAAUCAUGAUGACGAGUAGCGUAUGGAAGACAAAUUUGAAUUGGACUAAGGACUUAGAUUUAAAUCUCACCCUGGAAAGCCAGUGCAGACUGUAGGAGGAGUAGACGAAGUGCAAGCAGUCGCCCGGAAAGAGCCUGCCGUAAAAGGAGCCGGGGUACCCUGCUACGAAAACAGAGGGACAGUACUGCCGGCCACCGUCACUCUCAGCCACCUCCCUGUAGAACUCCGGCAAGGCCUUGAACACCGAGUUGAAGUCGUUGGUGGGGAGAUCGUUCAGGUACACUCUGAUUUCCGGCGCCGGGGCCGAUAUUUUCCUGCUGGCGCCGGCUACGGCGUGGAUCAUGUCUCUGACGAUUGACAAUGAGUUGGGUCCGGAGGAACAGCCCAGAUCGGCUAUGACCAAGCUCUUGGCGGUGGGGCUUGUUUCCAGGUAGAGGUCUUGAAGAGUCUCCAUGAUUAUGCACUUCACCAUGUCCGAUGCUUUCUUCUGCAAACAGAUGGGAAUCAUAAUCAUCAUGAGAGAGAGAGAGAGAGAGAGAGAGAGAGAGAGAGAGAGAGAGAGAGAGAGAGAGAGAGGAGGGGAGUUGAUUGAACCUGGAGGGAGGAGUUCUUGGCAUAGCUGGUGUCGCCAGCUCCACCGGUCAUGUGGAACACUUUAUGUACAUCCAUGUUGAGAUUGAAAUUGUGGAGUGGUUCGUUGUUCUCUGGUUCAA